GUUUAGAGGGUAGGAAGAAGAACCAAGAUGGCUUCUGACCUGCAUAGCAUUUACCAGCCACAAGUAUCUAUGACUUCACAAGGUCAGACCCAGGAGUGGAACUGAUGCCUGCUAACUCCAUGUUGAACUCUCUCUGAGGAGACCAAACUUUUCCCCCAAAAGCCUGCAGCAUUUUUACAUCUCACCCAGCAGUAAAUGCUCCUACUUCUCCACA